GCGGUGUGGCUGAAGGUCAUCCAUUGGUGCAAGAUAAAGCAAUAGAGAUUUUGUCUCGCUUCUGCAAGACACAGUUUGUCUUGUUAGGUCAACUUUUGGUGACACAAUCAAAAUCAAUUUCUUCAUUGGCUAACAGAACAAUCAACUCAUCAAGUCCUGAAAUAAAAGUCGGAGGGGCUAUGCUGCUUGUGUGUGCAGCAAAGAACGAUAAGAAAUUAUGGGCGGAAGCAAUUGAACGAACAGGGUAUUUGAAAAGCUUAGUAAACACUCUUCUUGAUAUGUCAAAGCAGAACUCUAAAUGUGCUUCAUAUGGAAUUGAAAUUCAAAGACCAAGAUCUUUCAUUACAAUCAAUUUGUGCUUACGGAUGGAUGACUCCGAAAUGGUUGAUCCAGUUACUGUCUUGGGAAGCACCGUCUCAAUGUGGUUACUCUCCAUUAUUUGCUCUUCUCAUCCUACGAACAGACUUGUUGUCAUGGAAGCCAAUGGACUUGAAAUUAUUGCAGAAAAGCUUCAAAGAAACAAGUCCAACACACAGGUAGAUAAGUAUACUUACUAGCUCUCUUUAGCUUUUUUUUUUUUUUCAAAUCCUGCAUCUGAGUCAUGAUCAUUAAUUUUGCAGGAGAAUACCUCAGAUUCCGAGGAAAAAUGGAUUGCUAUGUCAUUCUUAGCUGUUAUGUCUCAGGAACCAAAUGUUGUCUCAUCUCCAGCAACAGAAAAUCUUUUGCCAACACUAGCACCUUUCAUGCAAUCUGAUCAGAUGAUUGACGGAUAUUUUACUGCACAAGUGUUGGCAGGGUUAGUUCGUCAUAAGAAUGAUAGGAUCAUUUCAGAAAUCAUGAAUUCAGAUAUCGUAGAAACUACGAUAAACUUGGUAGGGUGUGCGGAAUCAGACACAGGGAGUUUUUGUGCCUUAGCAGAAGAGCUAUCUCUGGUACAAAAUCCUUUUGAGGCCACUUUAGCGGUACUCUUCGAAGAUGAAAGAGUAAGACGUGGUUCAUUUACCAAAAAAUGUAUUCCGUUGCUGGUGAAUCUUUUGAAGCCAUAUGCAGAUAAAGCUGGAGCCAUUCC
rnacentral:lncRNA from 1 species